GCCCUGAAAAAAAUUCAGGGUGAAACCUGCCCAAUGAUUUUUAAUUAAAUAAUAGUAAAAGUAUUAUAAUAAAAUUUAAAGGACGCGGUAACCUUGACUGUGAUAAUGUAGCAUAAUCACUCGCCAUUUAAUUGAUGGAUAGUAUGAAUGGUUAAACGAAUAUUACACUGUCUCAAAAAGAGAUUUUAUAAAAUUGAAAUAAUAGUUAAGAUGCUAUUUAAAAUUGUAAGACGAAAAGACCCUAUAGAGCUUAACUAUAUUAUCUUUUAAAAAAAUGAAAAAUAAAUUCUAAAAUAAAGAUAAAGGUAGUUUAGUUGGGGCGACUAUCUUCUAAAAAUAACGAAGAUAAACAAUAUUAAUAAUAUAAUUUAUUGUAUAAUUCAUAAAUUUAACAAUUACCAAAGUAGGUUAUAGUGACCCGUUAAAAUCUAAUAAAAAAUUUAACGAUAAAUAAAUAAAAGCUACCUUAGGGAUAACAGGAUAAUUUUAUUCUAGAGAUCUAAUCGAAAAUAAAGUUUGUCACCUCUAUGUUGAAUUAAGAUAUCCAAAUAAUGCAGAAGUUAUUAAAGGUAGGUCUGUUCGACCUUUAAAAUCUU
rnacentral:rRNA from 1 species